rnacentral:tRNA from 1 species
GCCUGGGUGGCUCAGUCGGUUGAGUAUCCAACUUCGGCUUGGGUCAUGAACUCGUGGUUCGUGAGUUCGAGUCCCAUGUCAGGCU